rnacentral:tRNA from 1 species
GUCGUGGCCUAGUGGCUAAGACAUCGGGCUGGCAAUCGUUUGAUCGCCAGUUCGAACCCUACCCC